rnacentral:rRNA from 1 species
UGAGGAAUAUUGGUCAAUGGACGCAAGUCUGAACCAGCCAUGCCGCGUGAAGGAUUAAGGUCCUUUGGAUUGUAAACUCCUGUCAUGCGAGAACAAAGCCCGCAAGGGUGUGAUAGUACCGCAAGAGGAAGAGACGGCUAACUCUGUG